ACGAGUCAAAGUUUUGUUCGAAUCAUACUUACAAUUAGAUAGGAAUGAUUAGUUAAAUCUUACGGAAGCAAGUCAACGAUGAAGCGAAUACUGUUAGUAGGCAGAGCCGGAAAUGGCUUAACAUCAUGUGUACAAUCAAUAAACAAGGUACCGCAAGGCUGUCGUCCCAUAGAAACUUUUGCGGUAGAAUGUCCCGGAAUAGGUGACAGGGGAGAGGACCGCAGAGAGAGCAUCGAAUGUACCAGAAAUAAUGUAAAGGAGAUUAUUAAGGCGUACGACAAAGAUGAGGGCUUCGACGCCAUAGCCCUUGUCUUGAAAUAUGGCGCAAGAUUCACCAAUCAGGAAAAGGACGCCGUGGAGGAAGUGAAACUGAUGUUUGGGAAAAACGUGUUUCAGAAGCACGGGAUAAUUAUCAUGAGUUACGGAGAUCUUUUUGAAGGCGACAAUGUGGGAAAAGAAAAUUAUUUCAUGGACUGGGUAUCAGCACAAAGAGGAGACAUUGAAAAGUUGUUUAAAGACGUUCAAACCAGAGUUUACUUAUUUGACAAUAAAACAGACGACAUCCAGAAGAGACGGGAGCAAGUGGAGUAUCUGAGCCAAUGUUUCAUGCAUUUAAGGAAACCGUACACAUUGGAAGAUUUUGAAAAAGCCAGCCAACUUGAUAUCGAUUCAAUGUUUGGCCAAGCAAACCCUAAUUGUCAAUUCUUACUAUGUCUCCAAAAACAUUUUAAAAUAAUUCUGCUCUUUCUGUUUAUAUUUUUUGUUCUAUGCCUAAUAGUUUUAUUCUGUGGUUUAUAUGUAAUAAAAUAGGUGCCGGUACUCAGUGA
rnacentral:sRNA from 1 species